rnacentral:rRNA from 1 species
UACGAAGGGUGCAAACGUUGCUCGGAAUCAUUGGGCGUAAAGCGCACGUAGGCGGCCUCGCAAGUCUGAUGUGAAAUCCCUCGGCUCAACCGAGGACGUGCAUCGGAAACUGCGGGGCUUGAGUACUGAAGAGGAUCGCGGAAUUCCCGGUGUAGAGGUGAAAUUCGUAGAUAUCAAGUGGAACACCGGUGGCGAAGGCGGCCAUCUGGACGGUGACUGACGCUGAGACGCGAAAGCGUGGGUAGCAAACAGG